rnacentral:rRNA from 1 species
GCCGGGGACUCAUGGGAGACUGCCGGGGUCAACUCGGAGAAGUGGGGAUGACGUCAAAUCAUCAUGCCCCUUAUGUCUUGGGCUUCACGCAUGCUACAAUGGCCGGUACAAAGGGCUGCGAUACCGCGAGGUGGAGCGAAUCCCAGAAAGCCGGUCUCAGUUCGGAUUGGGGUCUGCAACUCGACCCCAUGAAGUCGGAGUCGCUAGUAAUCGCAGAUCAGCAACGCUGCGGUGAAUACGUUCCCGGGCCUU